rnacentral:rRNA from 1 species
AUUGAACGCUGGCGGCAGGCCUAACACAUGCAAGUCGAACGAGUGGCGGACGGGUGAGAAAUGUCUGGGAAACUGCCCGAUGGAGGGGGAUAACAACUGGAGACGGUAUCUAAUACCGCAUACCAUCGGAUGUGCCCAGAUGUGAUGAGCGAGUGGGUGGGGUAUCGGCUCACCUAGGGGACGAUCCCUAGCUGGUCUGAGAGGAUGACCAGCCACACUGGAACUGAGACACGGUCCAGACUCCUACGGGAGGCAGCAGUGGGGAAUAUUGCACAAUGGGCGCAAGCCUGAUGCAGCCAUGCCGCGUGUAUGAAGAAGGCCUUCGGGUUGUAAAGUACUUUCAGCGAGGAGGCGUUACUCGCAGAAGAAGCACCGGCUAACUCCGUGCCAGCAGCCGCGGUAAUUC